GCUAGGUGUGUCUGAGCUCAGACUCUCCUUGGGUGAGUCUUGCUGUGGCUGCUGUGGGGGAGGGGGGGGUGAGGUUCCCAGGUGAAUAGAGUUGUGUACCUAGGAGGAUAAUGGCUGCCUCUGCUGAGUCAUGCAGGUUGUUAGGGAAGUGAGGGAAAGCUGGCAGUCACAGGCCUCACCCAGCUCCCAUGCAAUCCAAAUGGCCAGUCUCACUCUCACCAUGCCCCCUCUAAAGCAUUGAGUCUGUUUCCAAGCAGUGGGUAAGCAGGGGUGAGAACUUGCCGCAGGCUACCCACCUCCCAGCUGUGAAAGAAAAGGGCUUUCGUUCUUCCCCCACCUGUGGAGUCUACACGCUGGAUUUGUGCCCUCCCUUGAGUUCUGGCCAGGAGGCUUCUCCACCUGUUCAAAUUGUUAUAAAGUUCAGCUGGAGACUUCCUUCUCUCCGUGGCAUUUUCCUCAUGCCUCUGGCCACCCUCCCAAAGGAUCCCUGUGAGGCCAGGCAGGAAUGGCCUGCUUGGGGACCCAGCAAGCUUCUAGGGCCUUUGCUGCUGCUUCCUCUACCCCUGUAUUUCGCUCGGCUCUCUAAAUGGACUCAGCUCCAGAUGAGGAAACGGAGAUUCACAAAAAUCAGGUCAUUUGUCUGAGGUCCGAGUACUGUGUGAUAGAGCAAAGAUUUGAACCCAGCUCUCUACUUACAGGUAAAUUGUCUUGUGAUUAUUUCCACAGAACUCUGACUUGGAUAAGACUUGUAUCCAUUUUAUUACGAUGUUCUUCUUUUUUACAAUUUAGUUCCCCAGAGGGCAAGACCAAGAUGCACAAUAUUUCAUUAUGUGGAUGCACUACAGUUAACCAGACUCCUAUUGUUGGACAAAUUGGACAGGCUGCAUGGAGAUUGUAGCAUGAAUGCAGAUAUUGGAAAUUUACUGGAUGUAUGAUCAGACAAACCAAUUGAAGUGGAGAAGAGAACCAAUCAGCCAAAUCAUUACAGAAGUUGCACCACUGCCUGAAAUAUCUUGACUGAUUCUAUAUAAGUUGAAUUUUUGCCGAAUAAAUUCUGAAAAUAAUUACAAGCUUCCUUUUGAUUUGAAUGUUACACAUCAAGUUCUAGUAAGAGCUAAUUUUACAUCAUUGACAGAUAACAAAAUAGAAGGAACAAAGUGCCCUUUGAGUUAAGGGCACUCCAAUGUCCCGGAAUUUAACCUUUUUGUCAGAUCAAUAAGGUUUAGUGCAACUAGCCAGACACCUGUCC
rnacentral:lncRNA from 10 species